rnacentral:rRNA from 1 species
UACGGGGGGAGCAAGCGUUGUUCGGAAUUACUGGGCGUAAAGGGCGCGUAGGCGGCCUGCUAAGUCGAACGUGAAAUCCCUGGGCUCAACCCAGGAACUGCGUCCGAUACUGGUUGGCUUGAAUCCGGGAGAGGGAUGUGGAAUUCCAGGUGUAGCGGUGAAAUGCGUAGAUAUCUGGAGGAACACCGGUGGCGAAGGCGGCAUCCUGGACCGGUAUUGACGCUGAGGCGCGAAAGCCAGGGGAGCAAACGGG